GUAGGUGGCAAGCGUUGUCCGGAAUUGUUGGGCGUAAAGCGCGCGCAGGCGGUUCUUUAAGUCUGAUGUGAAAGCCCACGGGCUCAACCGUGGAGGGUCAUUGGAAACUGGAGAACUUGAGUACAGAAGAGGAAAGCGGAAUUCCACGUGUAGCGGUGAAAUGCGUAGAGAUGUGGAGGAACACCAGUGGCGAAGGCGGCUUUCUGGUCUGUAACUGACGCUGAGGCGCGAAAGCGUGGGGAGCAAACAGGAUUAGAUACCCUGGUAGUCCACGCCGUAAACGAUGAGUGCUAAGUGUUAGGGGGUUUCCGCCCCUUAGUGCUGCAGCUAACGCAUUAAGCACUCCGCCUGGGGAGUACGGCCGCAAGGCUG
rnacentral:rRNA from 1 species